rnacentral:rRNA from 1 species
CCUACGGGGGGCAGCAGUGAGGAAUAUUGGUCAAUGGCCGGAAGGCUGAACCAGCCAAGCCGCGUGAGGGAGGAAGGCGCAGAGCGUCGCAGACCUCUUUUGCCGGGGGACAAAAGGCCGGACUCGUCCGGUCCUGAGGGUACCCGGAGAAAAAGCAUCGGCUAACUCCGUGCCAGCAGCCGCGGUAAUACGGAGGAUGCGAGCGUUAUCCGGAUUUAUUGGGUUUAAAGGGUGCGUAGGCGGGCUGCCAAGUCAGCGGUAAAAUUGCGGGGCUCAACCCCGUCGAGCCGUUGAAACUGGCGGUC